rnacentral:rRNA from 1 species
CAGCAGCCGCGGUAAUACAGAGGGUGCAAGCGUUAAUCGGAAUUACUGGGCGUAAAGCGCGCGUAGGUGGUUUGUUAAGUUGGAUGUGAAAUCCCCGGGCUCAACCUGGGAACUGCAUCCAAAACUGGCAGGCUAGAGUACGGUAGAGGGUAGUGGAAUUUCCUGUGUAGCGGUGAAAUGCGUAGAUAUAGGAAGGAACACCAGUGGCGAAGGCGACUACCUGGACUGAUACUGACACUGAGGUGCGAAAGCGUGGGGAGCAAACAGGAUUAGAUACCCCAGUAGUCCCUGUCUCUUAUAA